rnacentral:rRNA from 1 species
GUCGAACGAUGAAGCUGGAGCUUGCUCCGGUGGAUUAGUGGCGAACGGGUGAGUAACACGUGAGCAAUCUGCCCUUGACUCUGGGAUAACUGCGGGAAACUGUAGCUAAUACCGGAUACGACACCUUGGGGCAUCCCAGGGUGUGGAAAGAAUUUCGGUCAAGGAUGAGCUCGCGGCCUAUCAGCUAGUUGGUGAGGUAAUGGCUCACCAAGGCGAC